rnacentral:rRNA from 1 species
AAUACGAAGGGACCUAGCGUAGUUCGGAAUUACUGGGCUUAAAGAGUUCGUAGGUGGUUGAAAAAGUUGGUGGUGAAAUCCCAGAGCUUAACUCUGGAACUGCCAUCAAAACUUUUCAGCUAGAGUAUGAUAGAGGAAAGCAGAAUUUCUAGUGUAGAGGUGAAAUUCGUAGAUAUUAGAAAGAAUACCAAUUGCGAAGGCAGCUUUCUGGAUCAUUACUGACGCUGAGGAACGAAAGCAUGGGYAGCGAAGAGGAUUAGAUACCCUCGUAGUCCAUGCCGUAAACGAUGUGUGUUAGACGUUGGAGAUUUAUUUUCAGUGUCGCAGCGAAAGCGAUAAACACACCGCCUGGGGAGUACGACCGCAAGGUUAAAACUCAAAUGAAUUGACGGGGACCCGCACAAGUAGUGGAGCAUGUGGUUUAAUUCGAAGAUACGCGCAGAACCUUACCAACACUCGACAUGUUCGUCGCGGCUCUAAGAGAUUAGAGCUUUCGGUUCGGCCGGACGAAACACAGGUGCUGCAUGGCUGUCGUCAGCUCGUGUCGUGAGAUGUUGGGUUAAGUCCCGCAACGAGCGCAACCCUCACUUUUAGUUGCCAUCAUUUAGUUGGGCACUCUGAAAGAACUGCCAGUGAUAAGCUGGAGGAAGGUGGGGAUGACGUCAAGUCCUCAUGGCCCUUACGUGUUGGGCUACACACGUGCUACAAUGGCAUUUACAAUAGGAAGCAAGAUGGCGACGUCAAGCAAAUCCUAAAAAGAUGCCUCAGUUCGGAUUGUACUCUGCAACUCGAAUACAUGAAGCUGGAAUUACUAGUAAUCGCGGAUCAGCGCGCCGCGGUGAAUACGUUCCCGGGUCUUGUACACACCGCCCGUCACACCAUGGGAGUUGGUUCUACCUUAAGGCAAGGUUUAAAACCCUUGACCACGGUAUAGUCAGC